rnacentral:lncRNA from 1 species
AUGACACUGAAAGCUUUUUCUUUAUUACCUGCAGAGGAGAAGAAAGUAAAGAGCACUAAAGUGGAAGCAAAAGUUAAAAAGGAAGUGAAGGAUGGAAAAGGAGAAGCAAAGACGGCAGAGAAGGUGAAGCAGGCAGAGACAAAAACAACAGAAACUGGGCUAAUAAAGGCCAAAACGAAAGUUAAGGAGGAGAAAGCUCUUCAGACUGUAACUAAAUCGGACAAGAAAGAUCAAUAUGCAUUCUGUCGCUAUGUGAUUGACAUGUUUGCGCAAGGGGAUUUUUAUCCAGGUACAGGACAUAAGGAAUUCGUACCACCUCGUCUCCUUCUAGAACACAGUCCAAGAAAGAAACCAGCAGCCUUUGAAGGUAAGUCUGAGUUUUUCCGCCUUUAUUGGCUUCUACUUAUUGACUGUUCUAAUGUUAGGGGUUUUUUUUUGUUUGGUUUUUUUUUGGUAAAUAUAACAUAUAUUUUAUAUAUAUAUAUAUAUAUAAUUUUAA